AUUGCUUCUCGGCCUUUUGGCUAAGAUCAAUGAUAGUAUCUGUUCUUAUCAGCUUAAUAUCUGAUAUGGGCCUAAUUGGUCCAAAGAUAUUAAACUUAUUUUUGUAAGCGGUGUUCUUCCGAAGCUUGCUUCUAGGACGCCAGGGUUAGCCCGGUAUUGCACUACUUCCGGGAGUGACCCGUCCCCU
rfam:Ixodes scapularis strain Wikel colony gcontig_1108378753774, whole genome shotgun sequence.